rnacentral:lncRNA from 1 species
CCUAAUCCAAUCAUUUAGACUUCGUUUGGUUCGGGUAUAAGUAAGAACUGUCUUAUUCCAGGGAUAUGUGCAAGUUUAGGUAUAAGCGAGAACUAGAGAAAUUUUGUGUUUAGAUAAAAAUUUGGCUGUUUUCGGAAAUUAGAAAAAUAGUGUUUGGAUAGAUAAGAUAGAAUAAGAAGAAUAAUGGGUAGUUAUAAAUUAAAAAUAAUGAUAUUACCCUUCUCAUUAUAUUUGAAUUUUAAAUUUUUAAAAUUUUUAUUUAUAAUUUUAAAUUUAAAAUUUUAACUUUUAAAUUUUAAAAUUUGAAAUUAAAAUUUAAAUUUUAAAUUUUCAAAUUUUUAGUUUUAAAAAUUUAAAUUUUAAAUUUAAGACCAAAUUUAAAUUUGAAAGAUAUAAAAUAUCAAAUUUAAAAUUUUAAAUUAAAAAAUUUAAAAUAUCAAAAUUAAAAUUUAAACUUUAAAUUUUGGAAUUUUAAAUUAUAAAUUUUAAUUUUAAAAUUACAAAUUUUAAAUUUUAAAAUUUUAAAUUCUAAUUUAAAACAUAUUUCUCUUUCUUUCUCUCUCUUUUUACCAGGGGAACAAGGGGCCCAUACCGGGUUAUAUCGGUAUAACCCGGUAAGGUGGGAACAAUAAUUCCCACCCACCCCAACUCUUGUUUGGGUACAAGAGAGGGGAUAAGACCUUAUUCCUAGGGAUGCAAAUGUGGCGGAUCUGGGGGCGGGAGCCUCGACCCGCCUUCCGCCCCGAAUAGCAAAAACCCGCCCCGCCUCCUGCCCCGAAUUCUUGACGGGUUAAAAAAUACAUCCCAUAAUCCGCCCUGCCUCGUAACCCGCCUCCCGCCGGCGCCCCGAAUCCGCCCCGUCAACUAAUAUUUUUUAUAAAAUUAUAAUAUUAUUAAUAUUUUGUAAAAUAUAAAUUAAUAAUUUUUAAUAAUAUUAUAUAUAUAAUUUAAUAAUAUUAAUUAUAAAAAUAAAAAUAUCAAACACAAUUCAAAAUAAAAUUCAAAAGUUUCAAAUACAUUAGAAAUGAGAGUACUAAGUUAUUUGUAUUUUAAACUUUUUUGUAAAUACAUUAUUUUUUAGGAAUAUUUUUUAAAAAUAUAAAUACUUUUCGGGGCGGAUUCGGGGCGGAUCAUUGCGGGACGGAUUCGGGGCGGAUUCGGGGCAGGUCAAAAUUUCUCCCGUUUCCUGCUCCGAAUUGUAAAAUUUACCCCGUUGCAGAUCAUUGCGGGGUGGAGUUUAGUAAAAACUAUUUCUCUCAUGCUGUUUGUUUUAUAGCAAUGAAAGUAAAAUUUAUUCAGUUUUAUUAUUUGUUUAGCAGAAAGUGAAUAAUAUAAAAUAAUAAUUUAUAUAUAAAUAAUAAAUAACUUAAUAAAUAAUAAAUUAUAAUAAAUAAAAUUAUAUCCAAUAUAAUUAAAAAAAUUAAUCUAAAAUAAUUAAAUUAUUUUUUAUACAUAAAUUAUAAUAAUACAGCAAUAAAAUUAUAAGAUAUAUAUAUACACAGACACUUAACUAAUCUUUUUUCAUCAUAUUUUAGAUAUACAAACUAAAUGAAGAAAUAAUGAAAUUUAAAUAAUCAAAUUUUAUCAUAUUUUAAAUAUACAAACUAAAUAAAAGAAUAUUUAGAACUAUAAUUAAAUAUAUUUAAAUAUAACUAGAAUUUCUUAUUGUAUUAUUUUAUUUUUUUUCUUCACCUCUCUUUAUCAUAAUUGACUUCGGUCCGAGUUGGGCGGAAAUUAAUUAUACUAUUUUGGAUAACUCGAAUUUCGAUCGUAUUUUUGUUACGAUGAAACAAACAGUAAAAUAAUCAUUUACAAUCGAAAAUGAUUUCAACGCUCUUUACUUUCAUCCAAAUAAAUAGGCCCUAACGUAUCGUUUGGUUCGGGGAUAAGGAAAAAGUGGCUAUUCCAGGAAUAGGUAUAAAUUGAGAUAUAAGCGAGGAUUAGAUCAAUUUUGCGUUUGGAUGAAAAUUUGGUUAUUUCUGGAAUAAAAAAAAUAGCGUUUGGUUAGGUAAGAUGGAAUAAGAAAGAUAAUGGGUUUUGUAAAUAAAAAAUAAUGAUAUUAUCCACUUAUUAUAUUUGAAUUUAAAUUUUUAAAUUUUUAAAUUUAUAUUUCUAAAUUUAAAAUUUAACUUUGAAAUUUAAAAUCUCAAAUUUUAAAUUCAAAAUUUAAAUUUUAAAUUUCAAACUUUAAACUUAAGAUCAUAUUUAAAUUUAAAAAAAUAUAAAAUAUCAAAUUUUAAAUUUCAAAAAUUUAAAAUAUCAAAAUUUAAAUUUAA